rnacentral:rRNA from 1 species
GAUGUCGGCUCAUCACAUCCUGGGGCUGAAGUAGGUCCCAAGGGUAUGGCUGUUCGCCAUUUAAAGUGGUACGCGAGCUGGGUUUAGAACGUCGUGAGACAGUUCGGUCCCUAUCUGCCGUGGGCGCUGGAGAAUUGAGGGGGGCUGCUCCUAGUACGAGAGGACCGGAGUGGACGCAUCACUGGUGUUCGGGUUGUCAUGCCAAUGGCACUGCCCGGUAGCUAAAUGCGGAAGAGAUAAGUGCUGAAAGCAUCUAAGCACGAAACUUGCCCCGAGAUGAGUUCUCCCUGAGACUUUAAGUCUCCUGAAGGAACGUUAAAGACGAUGACGUUGAUAGGUCGGGUGUGUAAGCGCAGCGAUGCGUUGAGCUAACCGAUACUAAUGAACCGUGAGGCUUAACCUU